GUCUCAAUUACUACGAAUCCCUAUCAGGGAUUGAAAC
rnacentral:other from 1 species